UGAAAUUCCUCAACUACAAUCCCAGGUCUUGAUUGAUGAACUUGAUUCAAGGUGAGUCGGUUCAUGUGAGCAACCUCCACACCCUCACAAAGACAGUUAAUGCAGUGCUGUGCACACCAGCUAACAUCCUGGAGGAGGCAUUAAAAUGGAGCUGGAUCUUGCACUGUUUAAGACUCUGCCGAUCAAUACCUGCUGCAGUCGCCACUCUUACGCUUGGGCAUAGUCAGAUCCGCAGUCGCUGUGAUCCAAACGGGUCUCUCUAUAACGACCUAGAGUUGUAGCUGCUGUCGUGCACGAUGAAGUCAGUUCAAGCUAUGGUCGUGUUGCUACUGUUGGCAGCUCUGUUGGAGUGUGUUCAACAUUCAGAGGCAGGUCGAACGAUGCUAACUGUUGGAUCAGAAAAGACUUUGAGCAGCCUGUUGCCUAGCUGCUCGCCUCCUCCUGCCCCAGUGGACGUUCCUUACACUCCCACCACACCUGACACUACCUCUCCCUCCACUCAUGAUACCUACACUCCGACUACUCCGACUACUCCAUCUGAGCCUUCUCCGGUGUAUAGCAGCCCACCUCCCGCUGAUGGAUACUAGCAACCUUGAGCUCUUGCUUCGGCGGUGCACGGCGUGAAAACAAGAAUUUUUGCAUCGCACUCGCUUGAUGUGUGACGUGGAAUCUGGUCACCACGACUGGCUUGUAAAAGCACGCCGAAGUUGGAGAAGUUGUUGACGCUGAUCUGGUUUAGUGCAUGGCACCUUUCUUUGUAGAUCCAGAGAGAGUGCCUUCGUUCUAUUCAGAAGGGGUAGCGUACAUUUGUUGCUGGAUUCCUUGUAGGCUAAAGUAAGAUUUUAUUUAAUAUUUGAGCUCAGAAGUAGUAUCUCACAAAAUGCAUACAUCGUUUAGAUCCACUUGUCAUUCAUGUCAAUUUUUCGUGUUUCUAUCACAAUCAUUUCAUAAAGUAAAAUUUGGAGCUCUGUCCCUGUUAUCAUA